UAUACAUGCAGUCGUACGCUUCUUUUUCCACCGGAGCUUGCUCCACCGGAAAAAGAAGAGUGGCGAACGGGUGAGUAACACGUGGGUAACCUGCCCAUCAGAAGGGGAUAACACUUGGAAACAGGUGCUAAUACCGUAUAACAAUCGAAACCGCAGGUUUUGAUUUGAAAGGCGCUUUCGGGUGUCGCUGAUGGAUGGACCCGCGGUGCAUUAGCUAGUUGGUGAGGUAACGGCUCACCAAGGCCACGAUGCAUAGCCGACCUGAGAGGGUGAUCGGCCACAUUGGGACUGAGACACGGCCCAAACUCCUACGGGAGGCAGCAGUAGGGAAUCUUCGGCAAUGGACGAAAGUCUGACCGAGCAACGCCGCGUGAGUGAAGAAGGUUUUCGGAUCGUAAAACUCUGUUGUUAGAGAAGAACAAGGAUGAGAGUAACUGUUCAUCCCUUGACGGUAUCUAACCAGAAAGCCACGGCUAACUACGUGCCAGCAGCCGCGGUAAUACGUAGGUGGCAAGCGUUGUCCGGAUUUAUUGGGCGUAAAGCGAGCGCAGGCGGUUUCUUAAGUCUGAUGUGAAAGCCCCCGGCUCAACCGGGGAGGGUCAUUGGAAACUGGGAGACUUGAGUGCAGAAGAGGAGAGUGGAAUUCCAUGUGUAGCGGUGAAAUGCGUAGAUAUAUGGAGGAACACCAGUGGCGAAGGCGGCUCUCUGGUCUGUAACUGACGCUGAGGCUCGAAAGCGUGGGGAGCAAACAGGAUUAGAUACCCUGGUAGUCCACGCCGUAGACGAUGAGUGCUAAGUGUUGGAGGGUUUCCGCCCUUCAGUGCUGCAGCUAACGCAUUAAGCACUCCGCCUGGC
rnacentral:rRNA from 1 species